rnacentral:sRNA from 1 species
GUAUGAAAAGUUAGUAUGAGUUUGUUGAGUUAAGAGUUCUGAUUGUAUUUUAUUGGAUUGAGUUUGAGUUUCAAUUGAAAGUUGUUGUUUGGGUUUUACAUAACACAAACAUUGGGCCUUAAUGGGCCAACGAAAUUGGCAAGGUGAAGAAGAACAAAAUGUGGGCAAAAGUUUGUUGCUCAUUUAAGUCACCUAUAUAUGCAUUACAACGUACGACGUAUAGUGGAGGUAGGUGAGAAAAGAAUCUAAAAAGAGUUCUAGAGAAGAGAGAUAAAAGAGCUUCCUAAACAAGCUUUCUUCUUCCUCUUUGUUGUUCUUGAAUCUUUGUUCUUCUUGAGUGCAAAUCUGUAAAACCAAAAGACAUCAUCACAAGUUAGUGAAGCUUGGGAGCAAGAGAUCUCCCCCGAGACCCCGAGACGUAGCGGUUGAGGCCGUGAACUCGGUUACCAAUUUCUGUGUCUGUUUAUUUUCUUACCAAGCAAUCUCUAUCACUCUUUUCUCCACAAAAGUAAUGAAUAAAU